GACGAACGCUGGCGGCGUGCUUAACACAUGCAAGUCGAACGGUGAAGCGCCUUCCUUUUUGGUGGGUGUGGAUGAGUGGCGAACGGGUGAGUAACACGUGAGUACCUGCCCCCUUCUUCUGGAUAACCGCAUGAAAGUGUGGCUAAUACGGGAUAUUCUGUGCCUGCUGCAUGGUGGGUGUGGGAAAGAUUGUGCCUUUGGGUGUUUUCGGUGGGGGAUGGGCUCGCGGCCUAUCAGCUUGUGGGUGGGGUGAUGGCCUACCAAGGCGGUGACGGGUAGCCGGCCUGAGAGGGUGGACGGUCACACUGGGACUGAGACACGGCCCAGACUCCUACGGGAGGAGCAGUGGGAAUAUUGCACAAUGGGCGCAAGCCUGAUGCGGCGACGCGCGUGGGGAUGGGGCCUUGGGUUGUGAACCUUUUUCGCCAGUAAGAGGGCUGCCCUGGUGGGGGGUUGACGUAGCUGGAAAGAAGGCGGGCUAUUACGGCCAGCAGCCGCGGUAUACGUAGGGGGGGGGGUUGUCCGGAAUUUAUUGGGGCGAAAAGAGUUCGUGGCGGCUGGUCCCGUCUGUCGUGAAAUCCUCUGGUUUAACUGGGGGGCUUCCGGGGGGUACGGGCCGGCUGAAGGGCGGUAGGGAGAUUGGACUCCUGGGUGUGGCGUGGGAAGGCCAGAAUAUAGGAAAAACCCCCGGUGGCAAAAGCGGGUCUUUGGCCGGUUACUG
rnacentral:rRNA from 1 species